rnacentral:tRNA from 1 species
GGCGGCGUAGCUCAGCUGGUAGAGCAGUGGAAUCAUAAUCCAUUGGUCGGGGGUUCGAGUCCCUCCGCCGCUACCA